rnacentral:rRNA from 1 species
UACGUAGGGUGCGAGCGUUAAUCGGAAUUACUGGGCUUAAAGGGUGCGUAGGCGGCGCGGAAAGUCAGGUGUGAAAUCCCUCGGCUCAACCGAGGAACUGCGCUUGAAACUACCGUGCUCGAGUGAGACAGAGGUAAGCGGAACUUCGGGUGGAGCGGUGAAAUGCGUUGAUAUCCGAAGGAACACCGGUGGCGAAAGCGGCUUACUGGGUCUUUUCUGACGCUGAUGCACGAAAGCUAGGGGAGCAAAC